AGGGCCCCAUGGGUGUUCCUCUGGAAUAUGCACACUCUUUGGAAGAAGAUUACCUUCCCCAAUAGAGAAAGACUGUUCUUUCAUUAAAGGUAUAGAAGGAGUUACCAGACCCUACUAGAACCUCCAAGCAAUCUCUUGAAGUCUUUUUUUUUUUAGGAGAAAGUGGGUAGUUAAGGCUCCAGGCACAGACAAAUAAGAUGUUACAUCAAGCAAUCUGACUGUCUUG
ensembl:misc_RNA Gm24015 predicted gene, 24015